GUCUGCGGCCACUGCCACCCUGAACGAGCCCCAUGUCUGAUCUUGGAAGCUAAGCAGGGUCGGGCCUGGUUAGUGCUUGGAUGGGAGACCACCUAGGAAGACCGGGUGCUGUAGGCG
rnacentral:rRNA from 1 species